rnacentral:rRNA from 1 species
CAGCCGCCACGGGAAUACGAAGGGGGCUAGCGUUGCUCGGAAUCACUGGGCGUAAAGGGUGCGUAGGCGGGUCUUUAAGUCAGGGGUGAAAUCCUGGAGCUCAACUCCAGAACUGCCUUUGAUACUGAAGGUCUUGAGUUCGGGAGGGGUGAGUGGAACUGCGAGUGUAGAGGUGAAAUUCGUAGAUAUUCGCAAGAACACCAGUGGCGAAGGCGGCUCACUGGCCCGAUACUGACGCUGAGGCACGAAAGCGUGGGGAGCAAACAGGAUUAGAUACCCGGGUAGUCCCUGUCUCUUAUAC